GGGCCUGUAGCUCCAAUUGGUAGAGCAACGCUUUUGCACAGCGAAGGUUGUCGGUUCGACUCCGACCGGGUCCAC
rnacentral:tRNA from 2 species